rnacentral:lncRNA from 1 species
CCUCAUGAUUGGCCUUAGAAAAGAGGCUCCAGAGAGAUCACUAGGCCCUUCACCACGUGAGGACACUGCAAGAAGGUCCCAUCUAUGAACCAGGAAAAAGACUCUCACCAGAACGCCACCAUGCUGGUGACUUGAUCUUGGACUUCCAGACUCCAGAACGAUGCCAGGUUUCUGAGAAUGGAGAAUUGGGCAUAAGCAAAGAAGCAGGAGAAAAAAACAGAAGAGGAGAAAGACAUCAUGGAGGAAAGGAAAAUGAGACAAAGAGAAUGAAAAGACAAAGAGGAAGACAGAAGGGAAGAAUGGAUCAGAGUGAGUCUGUAAGCUAACCAACUACUGCUGGUUUGAAAUUCAGUGUCAUUAGGAUGCAGCUAUUUCUCAUAGUAAGUGCCCCCCAAAGAAGGAAAUAAACCAGCAAAUGAAAAUAACGGGAAUAUAAAUCAUUUAG